rnacentral:rRNA from 1 species
GAUGAACGCUAGCGGGAGGCCUAACACAUGCAAGCCGAGCGGUAUGGCUUCUUCGGAACUGCGAGAGCGGCGUACGGGUGCGUAACACGUGUGCAACCUUCCUUUAUCUGUGGGAUAGCCUUUCGAAAGGAAGAUUAAUACUCCAUAAUAUAUUUAACGUCAUCGUUUAAUAUUAAAAGCUCCGGCGGAUAGUGAUGGGCCCGCGCAAGGUUAGCUAGUUGGUAAGGUAACAGCUCAGCAAGGCGGUGAUCUUUAGGUGGGCUGAGAGGGUGAUCCACCAGACCGGAACCGAGGCCCGGACCAGAAUCCGAGGGAGGGGAGCAGUAAGGAAUAUAAGGCAAUGAAUGCAGACCUGACACCGCCGCCCCGGGUGAAAGACGACUGCGCUAGGAGUUGUAAACUUCUGUUGUAUAGGGAUAGACCAACCAUCGUGAGGGUAGCUGAAGGUACUAUAAGAAAAAGCACCGGCUAACUCCGUG